AGUGAACGCUGGCGGUAGGCCUAACACAUGCAAGUCGAACGGCAGCACAGUAAGAGCUUGCUCUUACGGGUGGCGAGUGGCGGACGGGUGAGGAAUACAUCGGAAUCUACUUUUUCGUGGGGGAUAACGUAGGGAAACUUACGCUAAUACCGCAUACGACCUACGGGUGAAAGCAGGGGAUCUUCGGACCUUGCGCGAUUGAAUGAGCCGAUGUCGGAUUAGCUAGUUGGCGGGGUAAAGGCCCACCAAGGCGACGAUCCGUAGCUGGUCUGAGAGGAUGAUAAGCCACACUGGAACUGAGACACGGUCCAGACUCCUACGGGAGGCAGCAGUGGGGAAUAUUGGACCAUGGGCGCAAGCCUGAUCCAGCCAUACCGCGUGGGUGAAGAAGGCCUUCGGGUUGUAAAGCCCUUUUGUUGGGAAAGAAAAGCAGCAGGUUAAUACCCCGCUGUUCCGACGGUACCCAAAGAAUAAGCACCGGCUAGGUUCGUG
rnacentral:rRNA from 1 species